UGUGUAGGCGGUGUUCUAAGUCUGUCGUGAAAUCUCCCGGCUUAACUGGGAGGGUGCGGCGGAAACUGGAAUGCUAGAGGAUGGGAGAGGUAAGCGGAAUUCCUGGUGUAGCGGUGAAAUGCGUAGAUAUCAGGAGGAACACCUGUGGUGUAGACAGCUUACUGGACCAUUUCUGACGCUGAGACACGAAAGCGUGGGUAGCAAACA
rnacentral:rRNA from 1 species